GGGGGGGGGUGGGGGCGGGGUGAGGGGGGGGGGGGGGAGGGGGGGGGCGGGGCGUUGGUGGGGUGGGGGAGGGGCGAACGGGUGAGUGAGCCGUGAGGAACCUGCGCUUGACUUUGGGAUGGCUGGAGGACAGUGGGGCUAACACCGGGUGUGAGUCCCUGCUGCAUGGUGUGGGGUGGCAAUUCUCGGCGGUUGGUGCCUAUCUCUCGGCUUACCAGCUGUUUGGUGGGGUAGUGGCUUACCACGGCUUUGACGGGUCGUGGGCCUUAGAGGGUGACCGGCCACAUUGGGACUGAGAUACGGCCCAGACUCCUACGGGAGGCAGCAGUGGGGAAUAUUGCACAAUGGGCGGAAGCCUGAUGCAGCAACGCCGCGUGCGGGAUGACGGCCUUCGGGUUGUAAACCGCUUUCGCCUGUGACGAAGCGUGAGUGAUGGUAAUGGGUAAAGAAGCACCGGCUAACUACGUG
rnacentral:rRNA from 1 species